rnacentral:rRNA from 1 species
GGGGGGGGGGGGGGGGGGGGGGGGGGGGGGGGGGGCGGGGGGGGGCGGGGGGAGAGGGGGCGCGUGCGGGUGGCGGGGGGCGGGCGGGUGAGGAAUACAUCGGACUCUACUUUUUCGGGGGGGAUAACGUAGGGAAACUGACGCUAAUACCGCAUACGACCUACGGGUGAAAGCAGGGGAUCUUCGGACCUUGCGCGAUUGAAUGAGCCGAUGUCGGAUUAGCUAGUUGGCGGGGUAAAGGCCCACCAAGGCGACGAUCCGUAGCUGGUCUGAGAGGAUGAUCAGCCACACUGGAACUGAGACACGGUCCAGACUCCUACGGGAGGCAGCAGUGGGGAAUAUUGGACAAUGGGCGCAAGCCUGAUCCAGCCAUACCGCGUGGGUGAAGAAGGCCUUCGGGUUGUAAAGCCCUUUUGUUGGGAAAGAAAAGCAGCAGGUUAAUACCCCGCUGUUCUGACGGUACCCAAAGAAUAAGCAACGGCUAACUUCGUG